rnacentral:snRNA from 1 species
GUGCUUGCUUCAGCAGCACAUAUCCUAAAAUUGGAAUGUUACAGAUAAGAUUAGCAUGGCUCCUGUGCAAGGAUGACUUGCAAAUCUGUGAAGCGUUCCAUAUUUUU